rnacentral:lncRNA from 1 species
CAAGAUCUCCCAGGAGGAGUACCUCAACGCCCCAGGCGAGACCUUCUCAGUCACGCUCACCGUCCCCGGCACCUACGGCUUCUACUGCGAGCCGCACGCCGGGGCCGGCAUGGUCGGAAAGGUCACCGUCAACUAAGCUAUCUUCUAGUAGCUCCCUGUCCUGUCCUUGAGAAUUUGGGUCCAUUGUUGAUCGGUCAGACCGGAGGUGUGUCAUGCAUGCAUAUUGAUUAAUUGUACGAACGUACGCUAUAUGUAUAUGUUUUCUAUAAGAUGAGAUGAGGCUCUUGAUGAUAAGUAAUCCUUCUUCUUAGCUUUGAUUUGUAUGCUUAAUUAUUUUUUCAAUUUGUUGUCGAAAAUUAGCCGCGGUGGCACGCGAUUAGUAUGCCGGUGUUAUGGCAAUUAAUACUUGUCAUGUUCUCGUUACUCAUCCUUCAUGUUUUCUCUGAUAUACGAUGUG